rnacentral:tRNA from 1 species
GGGCGAUUAGCUCAGCUGGUCAGAGCGCCGUCUUCACACGGCGGAGGUCGGCAGUUCGAACCUGCCAUCGCCCA